rnacentral:rRNA from 1 species
AUUGAACGCUGGCGGCAGGCCUAACACAUGCAAGUCGAACGAGUGGCGGACGGGUGAGUAAUGUCCGGGAAACUGCCUGAUGGAGGGGGAUAACUACUGGAAACGGUAGCUAAUACCGCAUACCAUCGGAUGUGCCCAGAUGGGAUUAGCUAGUAGGUGGGGUAACAGCUCACCCUGGCGACGAUCCCUAGCUGGUCUGUGAGGAUGACCAGCCACACUGGAACUGAGACACGGUCAAGACUCCUACGGGAGGCAGCAUGGGGGAAGAUGUCGCAAGGGGAGCAAGACUGAUGCAGCCAGGCCGCGUGGAUGAAGAAGGCCGUCGGGUUGUAAAGUACUGUCAGCGGGGAGGCGUUACCCGCAGAAGAAGCACCGGCUAACUCCGUGCCAGCAGCCGCGGUAAUAC